UAUGCUACAAAAGUUUCACUUUGGACAAGUCAAAAAAAAAAACGUACUGUAUAAGACUCAUAUGGUUAAAUUCAAGAGACAAAAACGUUAACAAUAAAUUGGUGUACAUAGUAGGUGAAUUUUCAGAUACGACAGGGUUUAGGAGAAUGCAUUUUGUGCACCGCUUCGAUCUCGUUGUUCGCUUUGUCGUGUUGCUGAAUUCGGGCUCUCUUCGUAGUGAAGUAAGGUGGAAGAAGAUUAUUUCUUCGAAUAUAAGGUUUAUCAUAUUAAUUGUGGAAGUUCUUGGCUGGACUGAGCUCUUGAACGACGUAGGGUACAAAUGCUCACGUUGGUAACCCGCCAGCUUAGGAGUCCUAUUCAGCUAUCUUGGAGAGCUCCCUUGUUCCGGAGCCUAGAUUUUGGUACAGAAUCUCUUGUGGUGUAUAUGUAUUUUAUCCAGGGGUACGGCGGGGCCCUGUCCCGUCAUAUGAUACUGUUGUUACUCUUAGAGGUCUGUAGACAUAUGUGUGGGUUGUGUAUCGAUGUUGUUCAGUUGUGUCUAUAUGGCUUAUGUUUUGGGACGUUCCCAUUCGUAGUGGCAGUCUUGUCGGCUUGCGUAGAUAUAUAUAUAUAUAUAUAUAUAUAUAUAUAUAUAUAUAUAUAUAUAUAUAUAUAUAUAUAUAUAUGUUUUGAGAAGUAAUGUGUUACGAUAGCCUUGUCGGCUCAUUUAUGGCGGGGGUGUUCCCUUAUAUAUUAUGAAAGCCUUGUCGGCUUAUGUACUAUAAUGUCUGU